ACUCCUACGGGAGGCAGCAGUGGGGAAUAUUGGACAAUGGGGGCAACCCUGAUCCAGCAAUGCCGCGUGUGUGAAGAAGGCCUGAGGGUUGUAAAGCACUUUUAGUGGGGAGGAGGAUGCCUAGGUUAAGAGCUAGGGUAUUGGACGUUACUCACAGAAAAAGCACCGGCUAACUCCGUGCCAGCAGCCGCGGUAAUACGGAGGGUGCAAGCGU
rnacentral:rRNA from 1 species